GCUGCUGUUCUGGUGCUAUGCGUUUCGUUUCUGAAUGCGUGCGUGCGUGCGUUGCUGUUCCAUCGGUCUGUGUAGUUAGUGGAUGGCGAUGGAUCUGAAUGCAGUAAGUUCGUCAGAGUGCGUGUGUUGUUCUAUCGGUCUCUGUAGUCAGUUCCUCUGUGGAAGGCGAUGGAUAUGAAUGCAAUGGGAUUGUUGGUUCUUCCUAUUUGAAUUUGGUCACCACCAACUUGUUAUGCCACCUAAAAUUUUCUCAGCAGAGAAAGUUAGUUGCGGUAAUUUUCGUUUGGAUCUUCAU
rnacentral:lncRNA from 1 species